rnacentral:misc_RNA from 1 species
UUUGAUCUCGUGAUUUACCCAAUUUUGUACUACGAUUCAUUUCCUCUAUUCAAUUUGGGGCAUAAUUUCCAAAUUUUUUUGUUUACCAGCAUUAGAUCAGUUGUUAGCUUCUAGAUCUGUGUCAUUUCUCUAAUUUUGGAGACGUUUGCUUGUGUAUUCUAUGUUAAUAGGUUAAAAUUUGGAGAGCUCGUGCUCUUGUUUUAGCCGAUUUUAUGCAGUUUUAGUUGAUCUGAUCUCUGUUCUUCUUAUAUGUAAACAUUAAAGUUGGUGGUUGCUUUUCAAAUCUCUAAAUUCAAAUGUAUUGCUUUCUCAAUGUAACUCUAUUUGAACAAGUUGAUUUAAUGUGGACUGUUUAGCGACUCGUAAUUUUUUAUUCUUAAGUGAGAUGGCACUGUAAUUGUUCUUUUAUUGAUAUUGUUUGUUAGCCAGUGACAAUUCAGAAUCGGGUAAGGUUAAAUGUUAAGCAGUUUGGGCUCUCAUUUCCAGGGAUCUUAUAGAGUUCUGUAUUUGCUGACUUGCACUAAAUAUCAUUUUAUUUUCUUUAUCUACACUUACUAUAUUAAUUUCUUUAAUGUGGAUUGUUAGUAAUAUAGAUCUCCUAGAUUAAGGUGUAUUUUCAAUCAUAGUUCAGUUUGUGGAAAUAAGCCAUAACAUGCGUAACUGUGUAAUGUUUAUUUUUUUGACAGCGGAGUAUUCUCCCUUUUUGGGGAUUGAGAAGGGAGCUGUUCUUCAGGAAGCAAGGGUUUUUAAUGAUCCUCAGCUUGAUCCAAGAAAAUGCUCUCAGGUCAUCACAAAGCUUCUUUAUCUUUUGAACCAAGGAGAAACAUUCACUAAGAUUGAAGCCACAGAAGUUUUCUUUGCUGUGACAAAGCUUUUCCAGUCGAGAGAUAUAGGUUUGAGGAGAAUGGUCUAUUUGAUGAUAAAGGAAUUAUCCCCAUCAGCAGAUGAGGUUAUCAUUGUCACAAGCUCCCUUAUGAAAGACAUGAAUAGCAAGACUGAUAUGUACCGUGCAAAUGCUAUUCGUGUGCUUUGCCGGAUAACAGAUGGAACCCUACUCACCCAAAUUGAGCGAUAUUUGAAACAAGCAAUUGUUGACAAGAAUCCAGUAGUUGCUAGUGCAGCUUUGGUUAGUGGGAUCCAUUUACUCCAGACAAACCCAGAGAUAGUGAAGAGGUGGAGUAAUGAGGUUCAGGAAGCUGUGCAAUCAAGAGCUGCCCUUGUACAGUUUCAUGCAUUGGCAUUGCUCCAUCAGAUACGACAGAAUGAUCGACUAGCUGUCAGUAAGUUAGUUACCAGUUUGACCAGGGGAACUGUUCGCUCACCACUUGCCCAAUGCCUUUUGAUACGUUAUACUAGUCAGGUUAUUCGUGAGUCAGCUGCUAACACACAAUCAGGGGACCGCCCUUUCUAUGAUUUUCUUGAGGGUUGUCUACGCCAUAAGGCUGAGAUGGUGAUUUUUGAGGCUGCUAGAGCUAUUACAGAGCUUAGUGGAGUGACAAGCCGAGAACUGACUCCAGCAAUCACUGUUCUCCAGCUCUUUUUGAGUUCUUCCAAACAUGUGCUGAGAUUUGCAGCAGUCCGCACUCUGAACAAGGUGGCCAUGACUCAUCCUAUGGCAGUCACUAACUGCAACAUUGAUAUGGAGAGUUUAAUUUCUGAUCAGAACAGAAGCAUUGCCACACUUGCAAUCACAACACUGCUUAAGACAGGAAAUGAAUCAGGUGUGGAUCGCCUGAUGAAGCAAAUAACAAAUUUCAUGUCAGAUAUUGCUGAUGAGUUCAAAAUUGUUGUGGUGGAAGCCAUAAGGUCACUGUGUUUGAAGUUUCCCUUGAAGUAUAGAUCACUAAUGAACUUUUUGAGCAAUAUCCUUAGAGAAGAAGGUGGAUUUGAGUAUAAAAAGGCAAUUGUAGAUUCCAUAGUGAUCCUCAUUAGAGAUAUCCCUGAAGCAAAGGAAAGUGGGUUGCUUCAUUUGUGUGAGUUCAUUGAAGAUUGUGAAUUUACAUACCUUUCAACACAGAUACUCCAUUUCCUGGGGAAUGAGGGGCCAAAGACCUCAGAUCCCAGCAAAUAUAUACGCUACAUCUACAACCGUGUGCAUCUUGAGAAUGCUACUGUUCGGGCUGCUGCAGUGAGCACAUUGGCAAAAUUUGGUGCUUUAGUUGAUCCAUUGAAGCCGCGCAUUUUUGUUCUGCUGAGACGCUGCCUCUUUGACAGUGAUGAUGAGGUUCGUGAUAGGGCAACACUUUAUCUUAAUACACUUGGUGGUGAUGGUCAAGUUGUUGAAACUGAUAAAGACGUACAAGCCUUUCUCUUUGGUCCACUAGAUAUCCCGCUAGUUAACCUGGAGACAAGUUUGAAAAUUUAUGAACCUUCAGAAGAACCUUUUGAUAUUAAUUCUGUGCCAAAGGAAGUUAAGUCUCAGCCACUUGCAGAGAAGAAAGCCCCAGGCAAGAAGCCGACUGGUCUUGGUGCACCUCCAGCUGGUCCUCCAUCUACUGUUGAUGCUUAUGAAAGACUUCUUUCCUCCAUCCCAGAGUUCUCAAACUUUGGGAAGCUUUUCAAGUCUUCGGCACCUGUGGAGCUUACAGAGGCAGAGACGGAAUAUGCUGUUAAUGUUAUUAAGCACAUUUUUGAUGGCCAUGUUGUGUUCCAGUUCAAUUGCACCAACACAAUACCAGAGCAAUUACUAGAAAAUGUUAUUGUUAUUGUGGAUGCUUCUGAAGCAGAGGAAUUCUCUGAGGUAGCAUCCAAGCCUUUAAGAUCUCUUCCUUACGAUUCACCUGGACAAACUUUUGUGGCAUUUGAGAAGCCAGAGGGAGUCCCAGCAGUUGGAAAGUUUUCGAACAUGUUGAGAUUCAUUGUUAAAGAGGUUGAUCCAACUACUGGCGAAGCAGAGGAUGAUGGUGUAGAUGAUGAAUACCAACUUGAGGACCUGGAGGUGGUUGCAGCAGAUUACAUGAUGAAAGUUGGGGUCUCCAAUUUCAGGAAUGCAUGGGAAGGCAUGGGCGCUGACUUUGAGCGUGUGGAUGAAUAUGGCCUUGGCCCAAGGGAGAGCUUGGCUGAAGCUGUUAGUGCUGUCAUCAGCCUUCUUGGCAUGCAGCCGUGUGAGGGCACAGAGGUUGUCCCAAGCAAUUCAAGGUCACACGCAUGCCUACUGUCUGGUGUUUUCAUUGGCAAUGUGAGAGUUCUAGUGCGGUUGCAAUUUGGAAUUGAUGGUCCAAAGGAGGUUGCAAUGAAACUGGCUGUCAGAUCUGAAGAUGAAUCUGUCAGUGAUGCCAUCCAUGAGAUUGUAGCAAGCGGCUGAUUGGUUAAUCCAGUGAUUGUUGCAGUCUUAGGCUGUUAUUUCAAUUUCUUAAAAUGCGAUCAAAGGCAGAUAAUAUUUGUUAUAGAAAAGUUAGUCCUUUCAGAAUGAGAGCUUGGCAAUUUUUUAGGGGCAGUGAAGAAUUUUCAGAGCUUAUUUCUCGUCUUUUAAUCUGGCUAUAAUUCUCGUGUAUCAUUUAUAUCAGAUCUGAAAAAGGAUUAUAUUUUAUUUUCCUUUUAAAUUUUGUAAGUGGGAUAAAGUAUAGGUUCCAUCAAGCUUCGUUUAUGGGAUAUGAAUUUUGGGAGGCUUUGUCCUCAUUUGUUUCAGCAUCAAAGUAUUGUGAAUUGAAAUAUAUUGUAAUUAGAGCAUUCGUCCGAGAAUUUUAUGCGUGCUUAUGCAUUUUUU